GACGAACGCUGGCGGCGUGCUUAACACAUGCAAGUCGAACGGUAAGGCUCCAGCUUGCUGGGGUACACGAGUGGCGAACGGGUGAGUAACACGUGGGUGACCUGCCCUGCACUUCGGGAUAAGCCUGGGAAACUGGGUCUAAUACCGGAUAGGACCGCACCGUGAGGGUGUGGUGGAAGGUUUUUUCGGUGUGGGAUGGGCGCGCGGCCUAUCAGCUUGUUGGUGGGGUAAUGGCCUACCAAGGCGGCGACGGGUAGCCGGCCUGAGAGGGUGGCCGGCCACAUUGGGACUGAGACACGGCCCAGACUCCUACGGGAGGCAGCAGUGGGGAAUAUUGCACAAUGGGCGGAAGCCUGAUGCAGCGACGCCGCGUGGGGGAUGACGGCCUUCGGGUUGUAAACUCCUUUCACCAUCGACGAAGGGUUUCUGACGGUAGAUGGAGAAGAAGCACCGGCUAACUACGUG
rnacentral:rRNA from 1 species